AGCGAACGCUGGCGGCAGGCUUAACACAUGCAAGUCGAGCGGGCGUAGCAAUACGUCAGCGGCAGACGGGUGAGUAACGCGUGGGAACAUACCUUUUGGUUCGGAACAACACAGGGAAACUUGUGCUAAUACCGGAUAAGCCCUUACGGGGAAAGAUUUAUCGCCGAAAGAUUGGCCCGCGUCUGAUUAGCUAGUUGGUGAGGUAACGGCUCACCAAGGCGACGAUCAGUAGCUGGUCUGAGAGGAUGAUCAGCCACAUUGGGACUGAGACACGGCCCAAACUCCUACGGGAGGCAGCAGUGGGGAAUAUUGGACAAUGGGCGCAAGCCUGAUCCAGCCAUGCCGCGUGAGUGAUGAAGGCCCUAGGGUUGUAAAGCUCUUUUGUGCGGGAAGAUAAUGACGGUACCGCAAGAAUAAGCCCCGGCUAACUUCGUGCCAGCCGCCGCGGUAAC
rnacentral:rRNA from 1 species